rnacentral:rRNA from 1 species
GUGGGGAAUAUUGCACAAUGGGCGAAAGCCUGAUGCAGCAACGCCGCGUGAAGGAUGAAGGCCUUUGGGUCGUAAACUUCUGUCCUUGGGGAAGAAAAAAAUGACGGUACCCCUGGAGGAAGUCCCGGCUAACUACGUGCCAGCAGCCGCGGUAAUACGUAGGGGGCGAGCGUUAUCCGGAAUUAUUGGGCGUAAAGAGUACGUAGGUGGUUUUUUAAGCGCAGGGUUUAAGGCGAUGGCUCAACUGUCGUUCGCCCUGUGAACUGGAAGACUUGAGUACAGGAGAGUAAAGCGGAAUUCCUAGUGUAGCGGUGAAAUGCAUAGAUAUUAGGAGGAACACCAGUGGCGAAGGCGGCUUUCUGGACUGUAACUGACACUGAGGUACGAAAGCGUGGGGAGCAAACAGGAUUAGAUACCCGAGUAGUCC